UUUAUGCAUCUCAUUUUCAUACAACUCUGUGAGAUGAAUAUUGUUAUUUGUGUUUUGCAGCAGAGGAAAUGGAGUCUCAGAAAGUUUAAGUCAUUUGCUGAAGAUCACACAGUUGACAAGUUCCAGAGCAAGGAUGGCCACCUGCGUCAAGCCAGUCUCUUAGCCAAGAGAGAAAGAGAUUUCACUGGAAGGAAGCUUCCUCUGCUUUGAAAGAGAUGCCUUGGGCUCCAGUCACCACAGUCCUUCCAAGACCUUUUCCAUAGGGCUCCCAGCGACAACCAAGUUCUGGCUAAGGCAUUUGUGUGACCCUGGGAGCCUCAGUUACUUUGGAGACAUGCAAGUUGGCUCACGGAGGACUGAGGACUGGGAUCUGGCUUUGAGUCAGGAGCCCUGGUGCUAUCAGUGUGGGUGCAGGAUGGAGUCACAGGACCUUUCAGAGAGUGCAACUUUCAGAGGAAAUUUAGCAAGUCAUUAAGGAAACGACUGGAGACUGGAUGGCAGUUAGUGAAGUGUAGCCAGCAUCAGCUUAUUUGCAUGGCUGAUGGCUGAAACAGGAUCCUACCUGUAGCUUCCACUCCAGUGGCAACAAGCCAGCUCCACUGUAGUCUGCUGCGUCUCAAAACCUUCUAGGUCCCUGUGCACCUAACACUGCAGGACAACUACCAGUCAGGUGCACCAGAGACCGAAGGUGGCAAAUUAGAAGGGAUGGAACCAAAGAAGGUUGUCGUUGGUGGCUUCUGCCUCUGACAGGAGAAGCCUGAGGAGUGCUAUUCGCAAGUAGUAUUCUAUUUUUUUUUCUCAUUAAACUUUUGUUUUAAUGGGUCUCAAAAUUCUGUGACAGAUUUUUGGUCAAGUUGUUUCCAUUAAAAAAGCAAUGAAUAACUUAAAACUACCACACAUGCACACACACAAAAAAUGGUCCAUGAAAACAUUCUCCUUUCCUUCUGAAGGUUUUAUGAUGCAUUGUUAUCAUUAACCAGUUGUUUACUAUUAAACUUAAAUGGCCAAUCGACACAAACAGUUCUGAGACCCUUCUUCCACCACUGAUUAAGACUGGGGUAGCAGGUAUUGGGGAUAAUAUUCAUUUAGCCUUCUGAGCUUUCUGGGCAGACUGGGUGACUUUGCCAGCUCCAGCUGCCUUCUUGUCCACUGCUUUGAUGACACCCACAGCAACCGUCUGUCUCAUGUCACGAACAGCGAAACAGCCCAG
rnacentral:lncRNA from 12 species